rnacentral:rRNA from 1 species
GCUUAGCCAUAAACAUUGACAGUUUAUUACAUUUUCUGUCCGCCUGGGUAUUACAAGCAUUAGCUCAAAACCCAAAGGACUUGGCGGUGCUUUAGACCCAUCUAGAGGAGCCUGUUCUAGAACCGAUAACCCCCGUUCAACCUCACCCUUCCUUGCCCCUCCCGCCUAUAUACCACCGUCGUUCAGCUUACCCUGUGAAGGGUAAAGAGUAAGCAAAGCUGGCAUCACCCAGUACGUCAGGUCGAGGUGUAGCGAAUGGAAGGGAAGAAAUGGGCUACAUUCCCUUGUCUUCAGGGAACCACGAAUAGUGCACUGAAAACAUGUACUUAAAGGAGGAUUUAGCAGUAAGUAGAGAUUUAGAGUAUUCUACUGAAACUGGCUCUUAAGCGCGC